rnacentral:rRNA from 1 species
AUUGAACGCUGGCGGCAUGCCUUACACAUGCAAGUCGAGCGGUAAGGCCCUUUCGGGGGUACACGAGCGGCGAACGGGUGAGUAACACGUGGGUGACCUGCCCUCAGCUCUGGGAUAAGCCUGGGAAACCGGGUCUAAUACCGGAUAUGACUCCAUGACGCAUGUUGUGGGGUGGAAAGCCUUGUGCGGCUGAGGAUGGGCCCGCGGCCUAUCAGCUUGUUGGUGGGGUGAUGGCCUACCAAGGCGACGACGGGUAGCCGGCCUGAGAGGGCGACCGGCCACACUGGGACUGAGACACGGCCCAGACUCCUACGGGAGGCAGCAGUGGGGAAUCUUGCGCAAUGGGCGAAAGCCUGACGCAGCGACGCCGCGUGAGGGAUGACGGCC